GCUUCUGCCUCUUCAAGAAGGUUCAUAAUCAUAAUUAUUUUGGGCCCUAUCUUGGUGAGUUAGAUUCUCUUAGUGAUGAGGCCCUGCUUGUCGACUUGGGUACUACCGUGUCUGCUAACCAUACCAUUGGUUUCCAACCAAACUCUAUCUAUUUCACCCAUCAUGACCGUUCCCGUCUCCGGGUCCCUUUGGAUCUGGACAUUUGUGUGUUCAAUGUUGCAACCAAGACCGUCAAACAACACUUGCUU